rnacentral:rRNA from 1 species
UUGACGGGGCCGCACAAGCGGCGGAGCAUGCGAUUAAUUCGAUGCAACGCGAAGAACCUUACCAAGGCUUGACAUACACCGGUAACGCCCAGAGAUGGGUGCCCCUUUGUGGUCGGUGUACAGGUGGUGCAUGGUUGUCGUCAGCUCGUGUCGUGAGAUGUUGGGUUAAGUCCCGCAACGAGCGCAACCCUCGUCCUAUGUUGCCAGCGGGUCAUGCCGGGGACUCAUGGGAGACUGCCGGGGUCAACUCGGAGGAAGGUGGGGAUGACGUCAAAUCAUCAUGCCCCUUAUGUCUUGGGCUUCACGCAUGCCACAAUGGCCGGUACAAAGGGCUGCGAUACCGCGAGGUGGAGCGAAUCCCAGAAAGCCGGUCUCAGUUCGGAUUGGGGUCUGCAACUCGACCCCAUGAAGUCGGAGUCGCUAGUAAUCGCAGAUCAGCAACGCUGCGGUGAAUACGUUCCCGGGCCUU